rnacentral:tRNA from 1 species
GGGCGGGUGGCGGAACGGCAGACGCGCACGGUUCAGGUCCGUGUGUCCGCGAGGACGUGAGGGUUCAAAUCCCUCCUCGCCCACCA